AUGAAUACAGAAAAGAGCCUUCAAAAUAAACCGGGGCGCAUUCUCUGCGUGGGGGGGCCGAGUUGCAGCUUGCGGCGCAGCCCGCAAGGCACCCUGAGGGCGCGGUCCGCGGGGAACGCAAACCGCGUCCGUGCACUAGUCCGGGAGCCACAGCCUGGGCCACGGCAAUUGACUGCGAACCCACAACAAACCAUUCCCACCGACGCUGUCACGCGUCCGGAGGGAAGUGGCCGCCGCGCCCCGCAGGGGUCACAAGGACCCGCGGAGAGGAAGAGUGAGGGCGGGCGUGGAGAAUUCCUCCCCAGCACUGCGCAUCGUCCGGAGUACUGCCUGCCCGUGCGGCCGCUCCCCACGCACCGCUGGCCACCGGUGCCCGCUCCCCGGAGCGUAAACACUCCCCCACCAGCGCCGCCCUCCCAAGCGCGGAGGUCCCAGAAGCUGGAGCGACCCUGGCCGGGAAGUAGGCACUGGCAGCCCGCGCCGCGCGGACGGGCACCGCGCAGCCUGCAGACCCCACAGCCCGGGCGGGCUGCAGCGCCGCGGGGCUGGGCCGGCACGUACCUCACAGGCGGUGUGUCCAGCGGAGAUCCACCCGCGGCAAGUUGGAGGAAAGCGGCGGAAAGUUUCCCCGCCCAGCGCUCGGCGGCGGCGAGCUCGGGCAGCUGCUGCGCCGCGGCACAACUACGCCAUCCGGACCCGCUGGGGACUCUCACCUCCUGCAGGGAGCUCCGGGAAUCGCGCAGGGAAAGUGGCCGGGGCGCGAGAGCCGCCGACUGCCCUCCUUCACUCACUGGGAAGAGGAAAGUGCCGCUCGGCGUCCCCGAAACCCUCGAUUACCCCCAUCAGGCCGACCCGGCGCACUCGCCCUCCUUCGCACACACGCGGGCGGGGACGGGCAGGACGCCACAGCAAUCAGCGCGCGGGGGGAAGGGCGCUCCUCCGCCGGCCCCACCGGGGGCUCUCGGCCGCCCAGAAACUCCUCCUCCCGCCUCCCGCCUCCCGCCUCCUUUCUCCUCCCCCUUUGCCUCCGCGGCUGAUGGAUGA
rnacentral:lncRNA from 1 species